CUAGUUUUACGGAGGAUAGGAGCCAAAAACCCGGGAUUUUGGGUUGUAUCCUCAAUUUACGAAUGGGGGAUGACUCUCGAAUUAAACUUUUUGCUGUAUCCCGGGAAGUUUUUUUGCAAGCCAAAAUGAGUUGCAAAUUUCACAAUUCCCCUUCGAAAGAGAGUCCCGGCAUGGCCCGGGUUGUGUUGGUAGGUGAAUAUCCAGAAGUUCAUUCCCAGAAAGGUACGGC
rnacentral:lncRNA from 1 species